UACAUGGGGUGCAAACGUUGCUCGGAAUUAUUGGGCGUAAAGCGCGCGUAGGCGGUUACUCAAGUCGGAUGUGAAAGCCCUCGGCUUAACUGAGGAAGUGCACCCGAAACUGAGUAGCUGGAGUACGAAAGAGGGUCGCGGAAUUCCCGGUGUAGAGGUGAAAUUCGUAGAUAUCGGGAGGAACACCGGUGGCGAAGGCGGCGACCUGGGUCGAGACUGACGCUGAGGCGCGAAAGCGUGGGGAGCAAACAGG
rnacentral:rRNA from 1 species